UUAUUUUAGAUGACGGUGGAGUUUCACAUAAUUUUACUUCAGAGCAGCUUCACAUCAGCACAUCUGUCAUUUUAUUACUGAAGCAGUUUAAAGAGUUUCUCUUUUCAUAUUUGUGGACUGAAAGCAUUGAAGAAAAUGUUUCUCAAAUUAGUUUUGCUCUGUUUGUGUUUCUGGCAUCUGGUUGGUGCGUUUGGUGACACAGAACUGAAGUCAGUGUGGGAGGGAGAUUCAGUCACUCUAAACUCUGAUCUUACUGAAAUAAUGGAUGAUGAUGUGAUUCAGUGGAGGUUUGGAAAUGAAAACACUUUAAUAGCUGUAAUCAAUAAAUGGGUCGACAGAUUCACUGUAUAUGAUGAUGUUCUUGAUGGGAGAUUCAGAGACAGACUGAAGCUGGACAAUCAAACUGGAUCUCUGACCAUCACAGACUUCACAACUGAAGUUUCUGGAGUUUAUAAACUACUGAUUAACAGUGUUAAUGAAAAGAAGUUCAUUCUCCUCGUCUUUGUUAAAUUAUCAGUGAAGGAGGGAGAUUCAGUCACUCUAAACUCUGAUCUUACUGAAAUAAUUGAUGAUGAUGAGAUUCGGUAGAGGUUUGGAAACACUUUAAUAGCUAAAAUCAAUAGAUGGUUAGACAGAAUCACUGUAUAUGAUGAUGUUCUUGAUGGGAGAUUCAGAGACAGACUGAAGCUGGACAAUCAAACUGGAUCUCUGACCAUCACAGACACCACAACUGAACAUGAUGGAGAUUAUGUGCUACUGAUAACGAGAGCAAAACCAUCAUUAAAAGCUUUCAGAGUUUCUGUCUCUGACUCUGUCCACUGUUGUGGUCCUACUGAAGCUGUGAUCCGAUUGGUCCUCUCUGCUCUGGUGGGCGUGGCUUCUGUCAUUCUUCUGGUUUAUGACAUCAGAUCCAGAAGAGCUGAACAACAUCAAGCACAUAUUCACACAUCAGGAAGUAUUGAAAUCUAAAGCAGAACGCUGAACUUUAAAGGCUCUUGAAAUGCUAUUUGUCCUUCUAGAGUUUUUUUCAUAAUAAAUACUGAUGAUUGUUUAAGCUUGUGCUCUCUCUUUCAGUGAUAUAUUUUUAAAAAUCCAUUUCAAAUAUUUUUUUUAAACUCUAAUACAGAUUUCACUUCACUACUGCUGCUGUCCAUAUUUAUGUUGCUUGUCUUUAUCAAUAAAGUUUUCUCAUUCUGAGGUUCAAGAGUCUCUGCAUGUUUUAUUACAUUUAUUAUGUCGGGCGCCCUCUGCAGGAAUACUAAAUUCAUUCUAAGUAAUGUGGUGCUCUAGCUGUGCUGCACUGUGAUUUCCCCUACGUUCCAUUCAGAAGGGCUCAUCCCUAUGCCCUAAUCCUUUCAGAGGGUUUACCCUCUGGAGUGAGAGCUUCGAAGGGAUGAAGGGUGUAGGGGU